rnacentral:rRNA from 1 species
ACUAAGCGUACACGGUGGAUGCCCUGGCAGUCAGAGGCGAUGAAGGGCGUGCUAAUCUGCGAUAAGCGCCGGUAAGGUGAUAUGAACCGUUAUAACCGGCGAUACCCGAAUGGGGAAACCCAGUGUGAUUCGUCACACUAUCAUUAACUGAAUCCAUAGGUUAAUGAGGCGAACCGGGGGAACUGAAACAUCUAAGUACCCCGAGGAAAAGAAAUCAACCGAGAUUCCCCCAGUAGCGGCGAGCGAACGGGGAGGAGCCCAGAGCCUGAAUCAGCAUGUGUGUUAGUGGAAGCGUCUGGAAAGGCGCGCGAUACAGGGUGACAGCCCCGUACACAAAAGCGCAUGUGCUGUGAGCUCGAUGAGUAGGGCGGGACACGUGGUAUCCUGUCUGAAUAUGGGGGGACCAUCCUCCAAGGCUAAAUACUCCUGACUGACCGAUAGUGAACCAGUACCGUGAGGGAAAGGCGAAAAGAACCCCGGCGAGGGGAGUGAAAAAGAACCUGAAACCGUGUACGUACAAGCAGUGGGAGCACAGGUUUACCUGUGUGACUGCGUACCUUUUGUAUAAUGGGUCAGCGACUUAUAUUCUGUAGCAAGGUUAACCGAAUAGGGGAGCCGGAGGGAAACCGAGUCUUAAUUGGGCGUUAAGUUGCAGGGUAUAGACCCGAAACCCGGUGAUCUAGCCAUGGGCAGGUUGAAGGUUGGGUAACACUAACUGGAGGACCGAACCGACUAAUGUUGAAAAAUUAGCGGAUGACCUGUGGCUGGGGGUGAAAGGCCAAUCAAACCGGGAGAUAGCUGGUUCUCCCCGAAAGCUAUUUAGGUAGCGCCUCGUGAAUUCAUCUCCGGGGGUAGAGCACUGUUUCGGCUAGGGGGCCAUCCCGGCUUACCAACCCGAUGCAAACUGCGAAUACCGGAGAAUGUUAUCACGGGAGACACACGGCGGGUGCUAACGUCCGUCGUGAAGAGGGAAACAACCCAGACCGCCAGCUAAGGUCCCAAAGUCAUGGUUAAGUGGGAAACGAUGUGGGAAGGCCCAGACAGCCAGGAUGUUGGCUUAGAAGCAGCCAUCAUUUAAAGAAAGCGUAAUAGCUCACUGGUCGAGUCGGCCUGCGCGGAAGAUGUAACGGGGCUAAACCAUGCACCGAAGCUGCGGCAGCGACGCUUAUGCGUUGUUGGGUAGGGGAGCGUUCUGUAAGCCUGUGAAGGUGGCCUGUGAGGGUUGCUGGAGGUAUCAGAAGUGCGAAUGCUGACAUAAGUAACGAUAAAGCGGGUGAAAAGCCCGCUCGCCGGAAGACCAAGGGUUCCUGUCCAACGUUAAUCGGGGCAGGGUGAGUCGACCCCUAAGGCGAGGCCGAAAGGCGUAGUCGAUGGGAAACGGGUUAAUAUUCCCGUACUUGGUGUUACUGCGAAGGGGGGACGGAGAAGGCUAUGUUGGCCGGGCGACGGUUGUCCCGGUUUAAGCGUGUAGGUGUGUGUUCCAGGUAAAUCCGGUUCACUUUAACACUGAGGCGUGAUGACGAGGCACUACGGUGCUGAAGCAACAAAUGCCCUGCUUCCAGGAAAAGCCUCUAAGCAUCAGGUAACAUCAAAUCGUACCCCAAACCGACACAGGUGGUCAGGUAGAGAAUACCAAGGCGCUUGAGAGAACUCGGGUGAAGGAACUAGGCAAAAUGGUGCCGUAACUUCGGGAGAAGGCACGCUGACACGUAGGUGAAGUGAUUUACUCAUGGAGCUGAAGUCAGUCGAAGAUACCAGCUGGCUGCAACUGUUUAUUAAAAACACAGCACUGUGCAAACACGAAAGUGGACGUAUACGGUGUGACGCCUGCCCGGUGCCGGAAGGUUAAUUGAUGGGGUCAGCGCAAGCGAAGCUCCUGAUCGAAGCCCCGGUAAACGGCGGCCGUAACUAUAACGGUCCUAAGGUAGCGAAAUUCCUUGUCGGGUAAGUUCCGACCUGCACGAAUGGCGUAAUGAUGGCCAGGCUGUCUCCACCCGAGACUCAGUGAAAUUGAACUCGCUGUGAAGAUGCAGUGUACCCGCGGCAAGACGGAAAGACCCCGUGAACCUUUACUAUAGCUUGACACUGAACAUUGAGCCUUGAUGUGUAGGAUAGGUGGGAGGCUUUGAAGCGUGGACGCCAGUCUGCGUGGAGCCGACCUUGAAAUACCACCCUUUAAUGUUUGAUGUUCUAACGUGGACCCGUUACCCGGGUUGCGGACAGUGUCUGGUGGGUAGUUUGACUGGGGCGGUCUCCUCCUAAAGAGUAACGGAGGAGCACGAAGGUUGGCUAAUCCUGGUCGGACAUCAGGAGGUUAGUGCAAUGGCAUAAGCCAGCUUGACUGCGAGCGUGACGGCGCGAGCAGGUGCGAAAGCAGGUCAUAGUGAUCCGGUGGUUCUGAAUGGAAGGGCCAUCGCUCAACGGAUAAAAGGUACUCCGGGGAUAACAGGCUGAUACCGCCCAAGAGUUCAUAUCGACGGCGGUGUUUGGCACCUCGAUGUCGGCUCAUCACAUCCUGGGGCUGAAGUAGGUCCCAAGGGUAUGGCUGUUCGCCAUUUAAAGUGGUACGCGAGCUGGGUUUAGAACGUCGUGAGACAGUUCGGUCCCUAUCUGCCGUGGGCGCUGGAGAACUGAGGGGGGCUGCUCCUAGUACGAGAGGACCGGAGUGGACGCAUCACUGGUGUUCGGGUUGUCAUGCCAAUGGCACUGCCCGGUAGCUAAAUGCGGAAGAGAUAAGUGCUGAAAGCAUCUAAGNGUCUCCUGAAGGAACGUUGAAGACGACGACGUUGAUAGGCCGGGUGUGUAAGCGCAGCGAUGCGUUGAGCUAACCGGUACUAAUGAACCGUGAGGCUUAACC